GGCUGGCAGGACAAAAUGAGGCCCCUGGACGUCGACGAGGUGGAGGCACCGCAGGAGGUGGAGGUGCUGGAGCCCGAGGAGGAUUUCGAGCAGUUUCUGCUGCCCGUCAUCAACGAGAUGCGGGAGGACAUCGCGUCUCUGACCCGCGAGCACGGGCGGGCGUACAUGCGGAACCGGAGCAAGUUGUGGGAGAUGGACAAUAUGCUCAUCCAGAUCAAGACGCAGGUGGAGGCCUCGGAGGAGAGCGCCCUCAAUCAUCUUCAGAACCCAAAUGAUGGAGGCGAGGGCAGGGUGACGAAAAGGUGCGAGAAGGCCGAGGAGAAGGCCAAGGAGAUCGCGAAGAUGGCAGAGAUGUUGGUCGAGCUGGUCCGGCGGAUAGAGAAGAGCGAGUCGUCUUGAAGCAGGAUCGGCGGUGAGGUCGGAAACCAGCGCGAGCUGGCCCGAAGUCUGGUUUACAGCCAAUGAGUUCUGGUCAACUGAUGGAGAUUGGCUGACACCCUGGAGAAGCUGAAACCAGAGAGCCUUUUGUUUUCUCUUUUUUCUUCUGUCUACACUCUGUCCUCACUUACACUACGUUUCUGCUAUGGUCUGUGGUUGAUGACCUCAAUAUGAGUUUUGAUUGUUAGGUGUUUUUGUUUGGGAAAGCAACUUUUAUUUGGGAAAAAAAAUGCUCUCACAGGAAUUAGAGCCUAGAUUGUAAGCUAUUGCAGCAGUCACAUUUGUUCCUGGACUUUGGUUGUUAUUUCUAAAUUUUGAGGUGCUUUGCUCUUUCUUGUGUAACCUGAUAGCUCCCUGGAACUUUGGGUCUGUGUUUGACACAUGAGACUCAGAGUUGGAGUUCUCCAGCUCUGAACGGGUUGAAGGAGCUGCAUUAAUUCAAGAAGACAACUCCAUGCAGCAACUGCUGAAGAAGGGACCAGACUUCAACUGGGAAUGUUGAUGGGACUGAUCUGGACUGAUGAAUCAGGAGACGGGGUGGAAGAUAGUAUUGUUUGUAUUUAGGGACUUUAAUUUCUGUGUGAGACCAAAGGAGGAGAGAUGUAUUUUGUUCAAAACUUAAAUUUUACAUGGUACAUUAUCUGAUGUAACCUGUUUGGUGAGUGUUUGGACAACCUAACUCAGCUUUAUGUGACAUGGAACCUAGAAUAGGUGAUCUUGGUAUUCUGUACAAGUUGAUGUAAUACCCUUGUGCAUUUCAGGGGAUUCUGAACAUAAAAUGAAAGAUAUUUGCAAAGGCCUUUGAGGGGUUGGGGAAGGAAAGCAUGUCCAGAUCCUAAACUGGACAGGGAAGAGGCAAUUCCAAGGUUCAUAUGUUGUCCAGCUAUAAGUAUAUUUGAGUAGCAGACCUGACAAGUAUUUGAGGUCAAAACCCUACCAUGUUUAAAAUAAAAGUGUUAAUAAAAGUAUUCAUUUGCUUGAAAAGACAAAA